rnacentral:rRNA from 1 species
UACGAAGGGUGCAAGCGUUAAUCGGAAUUACUGGCGUAAAGCGUGCGUAGGCGGUUUGUUAAGUCCGUUGUGAAAGCCCUGGGCUCAACCUGGGAAUUGCAGUGGAUACUGGCAAGCUAGAGUCAGGUAGAGGGUGGUGGAAAUUCCCGGUGUAGCGGUGAAAUGCGUAGAGAUCGGAGGAACAUCUGUGGCGAAGGCGGCCACCUGGACCAUGACUG